rnacentral:rRNA from 1 species
UGCGUAGGCGGUUCGGCAAGUCAGAAGUGAAAUCCAUGGGCUUAACCCAUGAACUGCUUUUGAAACUGUCGAACUUGAGUGAAGUAGAGGUAGGCGGAAUUCCCGGUGUAGCGGUGAAAUGCGUAGAGAUCGGGAGGAACACCAGUGGCGAAGGCGGCCUACUGGGCUUUAACUGACGCUGAGGCACGAAAGCAUGGGUAAGCAAACA